GACGAACGCUGGCGGCGUGCCUAACACAUGCAAGUCGAGCGGGGUUGAGGCGAGAGGUAACUCGAGCUUCUACCUAGCGGCGGACGGGUGAGUAACGCGUGGGCAACCUGCCUCAAGGUUUGGGAUAACAGCCCGAAAGGGCUGCUAAUACCGGAUAUGCCUAUGGCCUCGCAUGGGGCUAUGAGCAAAGGGGAAACCCGCCUUGAGAUGGGCCCGCGUCCCAUCAGCUAGUUGGUGAGGUAACAGCUCACCAAGGCGACGACGGGUAGCCGGCCUGAGAGGGUGACCGGCCACACUGGGACUGAGACACGGCCCAGACUCCUACGGGGGGCAGCAGUGGGGGAUCUUGCACAAUGGGCGAAAGCCUGAUGCAGCGACGCCGCGUGAGCGAAGAAGGCCUUCGGUUGUAAGACUCUGUCUGGAGGGACGGAACAAAAUAGACGGUACCGUCCCGGAGGAAGCCACGGCUAACUACCGUGCCAGCAGCCGCGGUAAACCUGUAGUCGU
rnacentral:rRNA from 1 species